AUCACCUGGAAUAUCAUCAUGUAUGAGUGUGUACUGAUUGGAGAAUUAUGCAUCCACCGGCAACACUCCCUUAGUUCUCUGCAGGGCCAUUGAGGACAGUCACAAGGGCCCUUUGCUUUUAAUGCGGGCCAUCUGCUUCCUCUCCAAAAUGCCUACCUUUUUAAAGCCCCCCUCAGCCUCGUGGGCAUCUUCGCACAAUCCUCCAGGCUGCACUACGUCCUUACAUGCUGUAAAAACACCACCAUUGUUGACGAUACUCCAGAUCUGACUGUAGUCCGACUGAUCAUAUGCAAUUAACCUGAACAAAUGUUUCUGAACACUCUUCAGUUUUGUUCCCUAUCUUGUUCUGUCAGGCGACACAACAGGGUUGCACUUUGAUCAGUCAUACAGACAUGAUCGUGCAAUGUUGAGCAACAGCCUCAGUGCACAGACCCUUAUGUGCAAGUGAAAAAAUUGCCCAGAUCAAUAAAAUGCCAGAAAGGUAUGUAAAUAACCAAAUACAGUUAGCUGUAAGUCAUAUUAGUUGUAAAGUGUAUAAAUAUAUGCAAAUGUUAUCAGUAUAACACAAGAAUAAUGUAAUUUUGACACAACUCCAGCUCCACUUGCUAGUUUUUUUCCAGAGCUUUCAACCACAUCUUAUCAGUGAGUGAGGUUUUCUCAUGUUAUACAUAUUAUAAGAAACUUUAUCAACAACUACUCUGAUAAUCAGUUAAUUGUAUUAGUCUUUUAAGUAAAAAUGACAGACAUUGCUCAGCAUCUUUCAGCUUCUUAUCUUUGAGGAGUUCCUGUGUUUCUUUUUCUUAUAUGAUUUUACACUGAAUAUGUUUGGCUUUUAAGGUCUGUUGGUGGGACAAAACAAACGAUCUGAAGAUGUCACCUUGGGCUUUAGAUGCGCAUGUUCUUGUAUUUUAAAGACCAAACAAUUAAUUGAUUGAUUAAAAAAGAAAUCUACAGAUUAGCCGAUAAAGGAAAUAAUCAGAAGAUGCUCUAAUGUUAUAGAUAAACCAUUACCACUGCAGUAGUCCUGCAGUGUCCUUAUCAAUACUAUUUCAGCAAAUCACUUUUCAUGUAGUGGAAUAUGGAUCCUCUAAA